CCUACGGGAGGCAGCAGUGGGGAAUAUUGGACAAUGGGCGAAAGCCUGAUCCAGCAAUGCCGCGUGAGUGAUGAAGGCCUUAGGGUUGUAAAGCUCUUUUACCAGGGAUGAUAAUGACAGUACCUGGAGAAUAAGCUCCGGCUAACUCCGUGCCAGCAGCCGCGGUAAUACGGAGGGAGCUAGCGUUGUUCGGAAUUACUGGGCGUAAAGCGUACGUAGGCGGUUAUUCAAGUCAGAGGUGAAAGCCUGGAGCUCAACUCCAGAACUGCCUUUGAAACUAGAUAGCUAGAAUCUUGGAGAGGUGAGUGGAAUUCCGAGUGUAGAGGUGAAAUUCGUAGAUAUUCGGAAGAACACCAGUGGCGAAGGCGACUCACUGGACAAGUAUUGACGCUGAGGUACGAAAGCGUGGGGAGCAAACAGGAUUAGAUACCCUGGUAGUCCACGCCGUAAACGAUGAUAACUAGCUGUUCGGGCUCUACGAGCUUGAGUGGCGCAGCUACGACAUUAAGUUAAGUUCCGUCCGUCGGGGAGGUACGGUACGGCGAAGAAGUUAAAACGUUAACGUAAAGUUAAAGUUAGUACGGCGUUGAGACGUUGCCGACGGACGACGACGAGGGGAGGUUAGG
rnacentral:rRNA from 1 species